rnacentral:rRNA from 2 species
CCUACGGGAGGCUGCAGUGGGGAAUAUUGCACAAUGGGCGAAAGCCUGAUGCAGCAACGCCGCGUGAACGAAGAAGGCCUUUGGGUCGUAAAGUUCUGUCCAAGAGGAAGAUAAUGACGGUACUCUUGGAGGAAGCCCCGGCUAACUACGUGCCAGCAGCCGCGGUAACACGUAGGGGGCAAGCGUUAUCCGGAAUUAUUGGGCGUAAAGGGUGCGUAGGCGGCUUCUUAAGCGUGGGGUGAAAUGCAAUAGCUCAACUAUUGUAAGCCUUGCGAACUGGGGAGCUUGAGUGCAGGAGAGGAAAGCGGAAUUCCUAGUGUAGCGGUGAAAUGCGUAGAUAUUAGGAGGAACACCAGUGGCGAAGGCGGCUUUCUGGACUGUAACUGACGCUGAGGCACGAAAGCGUGGGUAGCGAACAGGCUUAGAUACCCCAGUAGUC